UAAUUAUAUAACAAUAACCGUUUAGUCUUUCGUUUACCGUUUUUAGACGUCGUUAAUAAUACUUGAUGAUAUUUUACGAAGCAAUGUCACUUUUAACUAUGAAAGUUCAACGUUAUAACACAUGAUAUUGGUACAAAAUGUAUUGUAAUCUUCAACGAAUGAAGUAUUUUUAAUUAUUUAAAUUUUCAGCAUGCAAUUAAAAUGCCCCAGAGACGACAUUUGUACAAAUGAGAAAUUAGAAUACGAUAAAUCGACAAUAAAAGAAAAAUUGGGCUAUGCUAAAGCGGUGGUAGGUGUACUUCCAGAAUCUAAUCAAAUCGCCCGUGAAAAUAUAAAUCGGUACUACAGGGGAGCAGAUCAACUGCAGGCAAACAAAGAAAAUGUCAAUCCUAAUAAAUCGGAAUCGCCGUAAGGAUAUAAUAUUAUUAAUUAUUAUUAUGUUUGAACUCAUAAAAAUAAUAAAUACAUUUAAUUCUUGUUUGUAAUAACAUAUUUGUUCUAUCAUUGUUCUGCAGCACAAAAAAACGCCUUCCGUUCUGUGAUCUACAAAAAUAUCACGCCGAGAGCAAACACGAAACCUCGUCCAUUGGAUAUGACGUGAAGCCGAGGUUUUUUGCGGAUUCAAAAAGUGUAAAUAAAAAUCAGAAUGUAUUCUCUUCAAGGACACGGACGGCGACGUGGAAUCGGUGGGAUAACGCAUUUGACUGGAAAUCUGAACAGAAUUUCUCGACGAUAAAUCUCGAACCCAUCCAGAGAGACGACACUGUCGUGGGUCGAUUGUCCCGCCAAAUAGAAAACAACUUGAAGGCCCCUUCCGAUUUUCGUAAUGGCCGGGGAGCUGAAAAUCUGCCUGAAGUAGCUGAAAUCCGUCGCAGUGAAUACUCAGGUGACACAUUGGUUCCUGUCGAUAAUGGUGGAGUCAUGGUCGAUCAAGGACGGCCUGGUGGAAUUUUCAAGAUACCGACCGCCCGGACGCCCAGAUGCAGUGAUCGUCUUACCGGUAAAAUUACGCUGGACAAAUAUUUCCGAGUGACCAAAACUUCACGGCGGCUAAGGGAUCUAAAUUUCGGAGGGUUUUCCGCAGCAGCAUCAGACAUGAAAAGCCCUGUCGAACGACCGUCGUCCGACACAGCAGCGCAGCAAAGGACUGUAGGCCUCGGGGACGAGAAACUGUCGCUCACUAAUCGUUUUUUCAACCGCGAUUUCGAAGACUCACGUGACACCGGUACCAGACAGCGUUUACGCUAUUAUUUCCCGUCGAUCUCUAAGGACUUAUGAAAAUAACACGUAUCUCCGAUCAGAUUCAUAUUGCCCCAUAACAUUUUAAUCUUUUUAUAAUAUAAUAACUAUACAUAGGUAGGUACAUGGUAAUUAAGAGUAUAUUAAAUUUUAAAAUUUCAUAAGUUGCAGUAAAACACGUGUGCAAAGUUUUACCAGCAAGUUGUUUGUUUGUUUGUAUAUUAACAUCAUAACUUUGAAAAUUUGUUUAUUGCUGUACUCUGUUAAACCGCAAGCCCAUUUCCCAAGUUUUUAAAAGAUGCACGCUUUUUGUUUUUAAUUUUUAAAAUUGCCAGAAAUAAUAUUAUGUUAUGAAAUUUACAUUAAAAAAAACUGGUUCUCAAUUUAUUGUGUGCAAAGUAUGUGGGGCUAUAUUAUUAGGCAUACUAUUAUAAUAUAUUAGUUUUAAUAUAUAUUAUAUAUAUAA